rnacentral:lncRNA from 1 species
UUUUUUUUUUGCUGGGGAUUGAAUCCAGGGCCUUGCGCAUGUGAGGCAAGCACUCUACCAACUAAGCUAUAUACCCAGCCCUAAAAAGCCUUUGUUGAAAAGGCAAAAAGAAAACACAUUUGUUGCAGUAAUUCACUUGCAGGUCAGCAUGGGAAAAGAAAGAAGAAGCAGAGCAAGCAAAGCAGCAGCAGAAAAAAAAGUCCUUUAUUGUGUACAAGCAAUCUUUUUAUAGUAUUGUGAACAAAGAAGGCAGCCUUCCAACAUCAAUAAAUCAGGUCUUUCAGCUAAUUAAACAUAGCAUAUAGAAGUUUUACUUUCACUUUCUAAUCAGAAGUGACCCGCUUCUCAUGGCUAAUCUACUUUCGGCCCGGAGUAUGUUGAGCUCUGCUCUUUGUUAAGAACAGAUAAUAAAAUUUUUCUCAGUGCCCUCCUAGCCCACUUGGCAGAACAUCCCGUUUGAAGGCUAGUCCUCCCAAGGACAGCAGACACCUCGUUUUCAAGCAUGUCCGUUGUUACCUUAUCUAAACCUUGAAGGAGCCUCUCGUUUGCGAGCAGGCCCUCCCAAGGACAGUAGACACCUUGUUUUCAAGCAUGUCCGUUGUUACCUAUCUAUACCUUGACAGAAUAUCCCUGUAGGCAGACUCCAUCAAGGACAGUAAUAGUAACACAGUCACAUCUGAUUCUCUACACACAUUCAAGGGUUGAUUGAUAAUAUUUAAAUACUUGUUUCUUUAGCCAGGAGGUGGGAUGAGGCAGGCCUAUAAUACCAACUUCUCUGGAGUCUGUGGCAGGAGCAUCUUAAGUCCAAGGCCAAACUGGACAAUUUAGUGAGCAUGUGUCUCAAAAUAAAAAAUAAAAAGGCUAGAGGUAUAGCUUAGUGGUAGAACACCCCUGGAUUUAAAGCCCUGAACCAUACAAUCAAACAAAAAUCUUGUUUUUUUUUAAUAUUUAUUUUUUAGUUUUCCACGGACAUAACAUCUUUGUUUUUGUAUGUGGUGCUGAGGAUCGAACCUGGGCCACACACAUGCCAGGCGAGCACACUACCUCUUGAGCCACAUCCCCAGCCCCCCAAAUCUUGUUUUUUUAACCUAAAGAAUAUAGAUGGGUCUGGGGUAGCUCAGUGGUAGAGCAUUUGCUUAGUAUGUGUGAGGCACUGGGUUUGAUUUGUGAAGCACUGCAUAUAAAUAAAUGAAUAAAA